CUCAGCCCCACCCACAGGGUGUUUGUUGUGAGGGGGUAAGGGCAAGGAGAUUGUAAGCCCCUUUGAGUCUCCUGCAGGAGAGAAAGGGGGGCUAUAAAUCCAAACUCCUCUUCUUCUUCCAUAUGCUUUAAGAAUUUCACCAGCAAAGAAAUGGUUCAAUUCAGUGGUGGGAUCCAAAAAUUUUAAUAACAGGUUCCGAUGGUGGUGGGAUUCAAACAGUGGCGCCGCUGCACACAUGCACCUCCAGUCCUUAUUGGGCAGGGAGGUUACUUUAGUAACCCCUUCUCAGCACACAAUAAAAAUUAGUAACCACUUCUAGAGAAGUGGUGAGAACUGGUUGGAUCCCACUUCUGGUUCAAUUCCAUCUUACGUGUUGGGGGCUAGAAUGACAGAGAUUUGUUUGUUCCGUAGGACCAGUUGAAAUCAAGAGCAUAUUUGCCAGAUGGCUCACAUGCCCUAAUCAUAUUGAGUACUGAAAUGUUCAGUGGGUUUCAUUUUUAAACAGAGAAAACAAAAUGUUGCUCUACUAGACCAAGGUAUUUUCCCCAAUUAUAAGUUGGUGUUUAAUUAGCUUCGUGGCAGAAUUUUAGGUGCUGAGAUGAAGUAAACCGAAACAGGCAUAAAAAUUGGAAAGCAGAAGCUGUGCUAGAAAAGGUUCAUAAAUUGUCUUCCCAAGACAAGUAGGAAAUGAGAAAUAUGGGAAGAAAGCGUGGCUAGAUCUCACCCAUGCACGUAAUUCCACAAACAUUACCAGCCCGUAGCAUUUUAGAAACUUGUUUUCCUACCUCUUAUUCAACAGUGGCACAUUGACAGCUUGAAAUAAAAGAAUAACUAGCUAGGAAAGCAUCGCUGGUUCUCACAUACCACAAGGCACAGCUAUUUACAAGUAGGCUGUUACUCCCAACUGUUUCUUCAAAGGAAGCGAGUAGAAGAAAAGUUCACAGGUUAAAUAAAUAAUGUAGAGCUAUGAGUCGAAUUCAACCACCUUCUGGUGAAAAAAACCCAGAGUCCCUUGACCAUCUUUGCUAGGGAUCAUGGGAUCUGCAUGGACAAAAGGUGUGUGCAGUUGGAGCUAGAGUAAAACAGAGGAUUGGGCAAGAUGGAGAGGAAAAAGCUGGCUGGAUUCAGUCCUUUCUGAAGAUCUGCUUUCCUGCAUGUACAACAUCUGGGCCCGUUCUGUGAGAAGGGGAUUCUUUGAUCUCAUCUCUAGCUUGAUGCUGAGCCAUGUUUGAAUAACGUGGUAUUGUGCACAUCAUUGCUAGCUCGCUCUAACCACCAGGGUUGCAUAUACGUACAUGGAAAAUUGGUGACUUGGGAUUGGUUCUAUGGUCUUUCCUUCCUCAAACAGCUCACCUGCUUCAGCACUAUUUGGUUUGGCUUGUUUUUGCUGAGUCUAUGCAGUUUGCAUCCAUGGCUACCAUACACAUGUAUAGUUGGAUUAAAGUACAUGUUGUUAGAACAUCCAAACUGUAUACUUGCAAUUAAAAUAUUUGCCUUUUAUUUUUUGUCAUCAAGUCACAGCUGACUUAUGGUGACCUUUCAAGGCAACAGGCAUGCAGAGCUGGUUUGUUAUUGCCUGCCUCCACAUCAUGACCCUGGUAUUCCUUGGAGGUCUCCAAUCCAAAUACUAGCCAGAGCCAACCCUGCUUAAGUUCUGAGAUCUGAUAAAAUCAGGCUAUUCUGGGGCUAUUCAGGUCAGGAUUCAUAACUGAACAUGACAUUUUCACUCAAUAAAAUAUCUCCUUAGCGUGCAGAUCUUAACACUUGAGCUUCAAUACAGCAAUUGGUUCUACCAAAGUAGGUAGGUUUAAUGUGGAUCCAGGCAAAAAGUUUUGCUUCCAGUGAACUAUCACAUUUAUAAUCAUCAAGUGGAAGAAACACAAUUGGACAAUAGCAGGAGACAUCAUGGAGGGGUUUGCUCCUUGCUUCAGGUGGGCAGUGCUCUCUCUUUUAUGCAACCUUUAUAAUGUGUUCUUCUCUCUGGGACCUUUCUGAGCUGCUGUUUUAAUUUUCCUGUCUAGAUUCUUAUGGCCAGUUUGCUUGGAGAAAGUGAUAUGAAAUGUACAGUGCAGGUAGCAAUGUGUCAUUUUGGUAAAAACACAAAUGCAGGGUUGCCAUAUUUUGCAGUCUCCAUGUGAGUUUUGCAUUACUUCAUGUUCAAAAGUAUCUCCAGAGUUAAACCAUUAAUAGGAUCCUGGACUAGAAAAACCACUCAUCUGAUUCAGUAAGGGUGGUCUAGCAGAAGGCAAGUGGGGAAAAAGUGUUUUACUGCUUACCAGCACUUUCCUCGGGCUCUUUCAUUACUCUCUCUGUUUAGGGUUCUCUUUCUAGCCUGAAAUCUCCUGGAAUCCUCAUUCCCAAAAGGAAAUAAUUCCAGUUUAUUUUUUAAAAAACUGAAGUGGUAAUCUGGCGAGAACAGGUUGUGAAUAAAAUGUGAAAAUAAGAGAUGUUCUUUUGCAUAGUGCUGCAACACCAGAUCAAUACAUGUAUUGAAGAGAAAAAGAAUACAUUUCUCCCAAAAUUUAAAGAGCUGAGGGAAAAGCUGUUCUUAUCUCUAGAAUCCAGUGUUGUGAGCAGAGGACAGAUGUCCACAGCUCAAACUGAUCAUAUUCCUUCCUGUCUUCUCCUGUAUUGGUUCUACUGUCAUUCCAGCAGUGCUCCCUUUCCACUAAUAAAACAUAAUUACAUUGGCAUUUUGAACCUCAGUAACCUGAUUCAUUGCUGAACUUUGGGUCUGAUUCAUAAUCAUGUUCAUUCCAAUGUGACUGACCCUCUCCCAUGAGUCUUAGCGGAAGCAGGAUCAGAGAUACCAUUGACCUUGACCCAUAGCAAAUCAUCAAACUUUCGUAGUGGCAGCAAACAAUGAAGGACAGUAUUUUAAUUUAAUGUUUGCUGAGGAGACGUUCCACUGAAAAGAAACCCACACAGGCGCAGUCCUGAGCAAUUUACACAAACACGCUAUUGAAGACAAAUGAGAUUUCUUCACUUUUGUAUGCAUGCUUUGGUCUUCUUGUCAAUGAAUAUUAAAUGAAGAAUACUGAGGGCAUUUGAUUCUUCAUAGAAUAUUAGGACAACCUUUUUACAGUCCCGCAAUUCAUAAUGAACUAGAUGUUUGGUUUGGUUUCUAUUUGGAGGGGCAUCCAAUACUCACUGUGGUCUCUGGUGUUAUGAGGACCAAAUGCAACAACUGAAAUCACAGAGCUGCAAAAGGCAUGAGGAACAUUUUCACAGGUCGCAGCAAAGCAGGAUUUCUAUUUCAGUGCAGCGGGCACACGUGCCCUCCUUCUUGAUACCAAUCCAGAGAAAGUUGCUCGUGAUCAACUCUCACUGAAGGAAUUGGGAGGGGUGAAUUGUUAUUAGCACAAAUUCCAUUGAUUUCCAUAGAUUUCCUAUAUCUGAAUCUGCAUUGCAAAUCAGGCAUGCCUCCAUCUGCACUUGGUAUCCAGUCUAUGUGGCAUGGUGCCCAGUCCGUCCAGAGAAUCCACAUGUGCAAAGUGCUUCUAUAGAUGCAUCCCUUUUCUUGGAUCAGGGCAAAGACGAUGUAAUUUUUCAGAUAAAUGUCCAGCAUGAUGAGUUAUGCAAACAUGUAAAACAAGCUCAAUUCUGGUCACGAACCGAACAGAUUUGACAGACUGUAGCAGAUGUUGUGUUCUGAAGCAUGGCUGAUGUUAAGUCCUUUUCUAAGCUUUUUACUCGGGCGUUUCUAGAUUUCUCAUCAGUGUGAAAGGAAUAUACUUUUCUUAUAUUUGCAAAUGCAACUGUAUUUAUUAUUCCGAGAAUUACUUUUACCUGUGCUGACUAUAGUUUCCUACUGGUUGAGAUCUUCCCCUCCCCCUGUACAUAGAACGUUCAGAUUUUGUGGAAGUCUUACCAAUGUCGGUUUGCAUCUUUAAGGCCUGAUUUGUGAUAAAAGUGUCUGUUGGUAGUGGCAACUUUGGUGUAAAAUGUAAGGGGGAAAAUACUUAAAAUUGGAUUAUUUUAUUAGUGUUUGGCUUAUAAAAACAGUAUCAAGACGUGCAUUGUUCCCACAUUCCCCCUCCCCAUUUUGCUAGUUAUACAAUGAUGCAAUUGAUUCAUGUUGUACAGGAAACUUGCAUUGUUUUAUCUGUUUUUACGUUGGGAGUUAGUUAUGAUCUUCCUGAAAAGUCUAUUUGUAUUUAUCUUUGGUGUUUUUUUUAAACCACACCCACUUGUAGCUGCUCUCAGUGUUCACUGCCACGCCCCUUCUGAGAAAAAUUUGACCCUAGAGUUGAUCAUUCUCACGAAUUCCUACCCUGUUUAUCCCAUAUAAGCCAUUACUUAACACCUUUCUUUUCAUAGCACCCCUACAAAACUUCUAUCAAGCCUUCCCUUUCCCUCUUGUCUUGGUCUGGUUCCCUCAUCACCAGGUAAACCUCUUGCUUUGCAUGGUUCACAAAGGCAUUCUUUAUAGUCAUUUUGAAAAAAGAGUGGGUGUUAUCCAGUGUAGAAUCAAUGAGAAGAUGUAUGGCUUUAAGCUAAAUUUAAUCAUCUGUUGACAUAAGUCAUUAUAAAAGGUUUUUAAUCAUUCCGGCCCUGACAAUAGGGCUGAAUACACUCUUGUGUGACAAGAGUCGAUAUUUAUAACAUCCAAGGUUAAGUAUAUUUGAAUCUGUUUUGUUAGACACAGGUACUUGGUAGUAAGCCCUUUUGAACCAAGUGGUUCUUACUUCAUGGAAACAUGCACAGAGUCAUAACACAAGAUCCACUCAAUUCUCAUUGAGCACAGAAUACUUCACCUUUCCAUUACAAAAUAGCUCAUUUGACAGGCUUACUUAAAGCAAGCUUACAAAAAAGCCCAUUUGACAAAUAUUUUGAGGCAAGUAAUUAUCUUGUGCAGGUGACUGAGCAAGGAAAAUAUGCAAAAGUGUGUGUUAUUUUUCUCCUUAUAGUUCAUGAAUGACUCACUAAUAUAUGUGUGGACCAACAACUUACUAGCAGUGUUGUAGAUUAGUAGAACCGAGGAACAUACUGGAAAGGCUGCUUAACUUUGCCUGGAUUGCACUCAAAGGCUCAGAAUAAUGGGUUGAAUCCUAUGAAUUUGUUUCACUAAUGGUAGUCUCUUCCCUUUGAUGCAGUAAAGCACCAGGCACCAGAGGAAAGUGCUACCACCAGUGGAACAAAUCCAUAAGAUCUAACCCAUAACAUUAAUCAAACAUUGUCCCAAUGUGGAGCAUCUGGAGCAAGGGUCUGCAACCUGUGGCUCUCCAGAUGUUUAUGGACUACGAAUUGUAGUCCAUGAUCAUCUGGAGAGCCGCAGGUUGCAGACCCCUGAUCUGGAGCAAAUGGCCAAGAAGCUUUACAGCUGGAUCUGAGAAAUGGGGCCCAAAUUCACUUUAUGAAUUCACUUCGACAGUUGUUCCUGCCAAGAAAUGAGAGAGUGAUCCAUAUGUUCAACUCCUGGGAGAUUUAGAGACAGAUUUGAGAAUGGGCCAUGCAUUGAAUUUACCUGACUCUUCCUGCAUAGGAAUAGUAUUCACUUUGGACAAUAUGUCACUGCUAAGCAUAAUGUAUUCUUUCAAAAACAUUGAUUCAGAAUACAGUGAGGUGUAUGUUUCAUACAUUAAAAGCUGACAAGUGUGUUGGUUAAAAAAAAAAGAGACACAUCUGUGAUAAUGUCUUUUUUCAGUGCCAAACAUAUAAACAGUAUUGUUUGAAGAAAGUAAGGAUUUUUUUACUGUAUUACUGCUGAACAAAUAUUGUUUUUAAAUGUUAGGUUUUGAAUAAUUUUGUAUUGUAAACUGUUUUGUGACAUGGUGCUUUUUCAUACUGGAAUUACUGAAUGCACCUAAUUAUUAUUCUGUUUUCUUAUAAAAAAUAUGUAACCUCAAAAAUCUUUAUGAAAACCAGUAUACGGCAAAUAUCCAAGGAUUGCAAAUGAAGCCCCUCAAUGUCCUUGCCUAUUAAUAAAUAUUCUGCUGCAGCAAAA